UGCCUCUCCCUGGAAGCAUGCUGUUC
rnacentral:piRNA from 1 species